AAGGGUGAACAUGCGGAAGGAUCAUUG
rnacentral:rRNA from 1 species